UACCAUCGACUGCACCAAGAAGACAUCAUAAUCAAAUCAGCUGCAUCAGGCAGUGAAAGAGGAAAUUUUUGUCUAUUUAUUUAUUUAUUAAUUCACUACUUCUUACAAAGCGUAUCCAGACGAUUCACCUGAAAAAAUGUAGUCAUUAAAUCCAUACAAUCAACGAUCCAUCAAGAAACCUCAACAUAAUUCAUUCAUCAGCAGUUGAAUAUCACAACCAUUUUCAGAUUUAAUUUUUCCUUUACAAACACAGCCUCAAGUGACAUAAGUAAAGAUUAGCAUCUCUUUAAUUAGAUUAAUUCAGUUACCUUUCAAACUUCUCCUGAGAAACCAAGUUACUCUUUUCAAGUCUUCCUCCAGCAUGGCACAGAUGAGUUUACAAACAGUAUCUAGAUUCAUUUAUGACAAUCAAUUGCUUUGGAAACAGUAAUUUCUCAAAAUGUAAAUGCUAAAAAAUAUUGGCUUCGAUCGCAGUCUGCCUGAGACCAGUCUGAAUCAGACAUAUAUCUUAAUCAAUGAGCCUUUUGGAUGUCUUACAAUUCUUGUUGUGACACAAAGGCUGAGGCAAAACAGGACCUUCUACGUCCCCUAUUCAACUUCAACUUCAACGAGGGUUUUAACGACUGCUUGUUCAUAGCGAACUGGAGCCACCCAUUUCUCGGGUCACGCAGUUAAUUUCAUUUUUUAAUUUCCAGGAGAUGACGCUAGAAAUUCGCCAGAAUCUUGAUCUGACCCGCACGAAACUCUGCUACGUGGUGGGAAGUGUGGAGGAUCAGACCUAUGCAAAGUACAGGAUACAUAAUCCUGAGCUGAUUGUCGACGAUUAUGAUACUCUGUCAAAAAAAAAAAAAAAAAAUUCGCCAACUUACAUCCAAAUUAAGAUAUAUUUUCCGGCCAACAUAUGUAGAAGCAAUCUCCUUAACCGAAGAAUGCUUUACCGUCAAAGUUGAUUUUACCCCCUGCCUAUGGUGCCAUCCACGGCCAGGCAAUUGCAUCGCAAGGACCAGUUGUUGAUACCACCAGUGAAUCUACAGCACCCUUCCGUAAUGACAUACCGACAUACUCAUCAUCAGAAGAGGGCUGGCCCAGCCCCAUCUGCUCCCCAGAAGGCAGGUCAGAAGAGAGCUGGCACAGCUCCAUCUGCCCAAAAAACCACCCUCCCGAAGGGCGGAGCUAAGCCCGCCAUAUCCGCCAUGCCCGACGCCACUAUGACACCCGUCCCUCUCCUCACGAUUUCCUUCAAUGUGAGAGCGGACGGAACGCCCGAGUUCGUCGUUAGCGGGCCGGCAGCCGCCGUCACCGCGGCGCCGCCCGCGACGCCCAAGUCAAGCCCUCAACAGAAGAGGUCUCGCUGGGAGAGCAUCCCCAGCACCUCGGCAGGUGCCAUGGUGCAAGCAGUGCAAGCCGCGCAGCCGCGCGCGCAGAGCGCCGGACGCGAGUAGCCAGCUCGAGCUCAAGCAGUGCAUCAAGAUCAGGGCCCCGCGGCGUCCGCGCGCCCCUCGCCCCUGGCCAGCAACAGUGGAGGCGACGACACCACCGCCGCAACCACCAUGCAGAGACGACGCAGCCGCCCACGCUGUGGGCGUUGCAACAAGAAGGGCCAUCGUGCGGCAGAGUGUGAGACUCGGCGUGAGCAGGUGACUGCUCCCAUUCCUCAUCCUGCCCCGCCCGCGGGAACUCAAGCUCCGGGAGCCGGUGGAGUAGCCGUCGCUGCAGUCGCCGCAGCCGUCGAGCCCGCUGGAGCAAUCGCGGCCGGAGCUCUGGAACCUGCCGGAGCUACAGAAGCCACUAAACAAGCUGCAGAUGAGGCCAUGGACGUCGACGACCAGCUGGACGUCGAGAUUUCUGCCGAGGAGGAAAACUCGCUGCUGCAAACAGACGCGGUCUAAAGAAAUAAAGGUGUGAUUUUCCUACCAUAAAGUGCUGUGUCUGCCUGUCUUGUCUGCCUGAAAGUGCUAUUUUUGUUCAAGUAAGAAAUAAAUAAUAUUUUUUUUGUA